AAAAAAGCCGAUGUCGAUUCUGUGGGAGAAGAGUGGAACAUGGCGGUGGUUAGUGAGGAGAACGAAGGAAUCGAAGCCGUUCUUCAUCGGAUUCGCCACCGUUUGCGGCGUCAUUCCGGGGAUUAUUGGUUUCUGCGUUAUGUCAGCCACCAAUACUCGCAGUCCUGAACUUGAAGCCCAACUACGGAAGAACGCUCGUCCAGAAUCCCUAAUGAUGGGUAAAGUUAAUAAAGAGAGGUUGGCUGAGUACCUUGGCGAACUGCAGAGAAAGGAGAACACAAAUGACAGAUAUGUUGCAGCUCUAAAGGGCGAAACGUUGACAAGGAAACCUUACCAAAGAAUUCAACCAGUCCCAAAUCCAAGUGAUAUUGAAGCAAAGAAGGAACAGAAGUAGAUCGUGGCUUAACCGGUUUUGUUGAUUUAGUUUGGUACUUCUACUUUUUCCAAUGGAUAAAGCUUUGGAAUGGAAUCAUGGACACAACUGGAGUUAUUGCUAUAUAUCUUUGAAACUUGUACAAGUAAAAUUUGAAGAACGACUGUUGUCGAAUGAGUGAAAUCUCAUUGAAGUUAAAAUAACCACAUCUUAGUUCUAGCGCGAGUAAUCUUGUUUACUUGCAUUGCGAUAUUGUGUUAUGCGUGCAAGGAUUUGUUGUACUUGAUUACUAUAUAGUAUGAAAGUGCACGAUUUAAGUGAAUAUUUUCUUAUGUAA
rnacentral:misc_RNA from 1 species